UACGGGGGGGGGCAAGCGUUGUUCGGAAUUACUGGGCGUAAAGGGCUCGUAGGCGGCCAACUAAGUCGGACGUGAAAUCCCCAGGCUCAACCUGGGAACUGCGUCCGAUACUGGAUGGCUUGAAUUCGGGAGAGGGAUGCAGAAUUCCAGGUGUAGCGGUGAAAUGCGUAGAUAUCUGGAGGAAUACCGGUGGCGAAGGCGGCAUCCUGGACCAUAACUGACGCUGAUGCGCGAAAGCUAGGGGAGCAAACAGG
rnacentral:rRNA from 1 species